GAUGAACGCUGGCGGCGUGCUUAACACAUGCAAGUCGAACGGAGAAAGGGUAGCUUGCUAUCUUUUCUUAGUGGCGGACGGGUGAGUAACGCGUGGGUAACCUGCCCUUUGCAGGGGGAUAACAGUGAGAAAUCACUGCUAAUACCGCAUACCAACUUCUUUCGCAUGAAGGAAGUUUGAAAGAUUUAUCGGCAAAGGAUGGACCCGCGUUGGAUUAGCUAGUUGGUGGGGUAACGGCCUACCAAGGCAACGAUCAGUAGCCGGCCUGAGAGGGUGAACGGCCACAUUGGGACUGAGACACGGCCCAGACUCCUACGGGAGGCAGCAGUGGGGAAUAUUGCACAAUGGGCGAAAGCCUGAUGCAGCGACGCCGCGUGAGUGAAGAAGUAUUUCGGUAUGUAAAGCUCUAUCAGCAAGGAAGAUAAUGACGGUACUUGACUAAGAAGCCCCGGCUAACUACGUG
rnacentral:rRNA from 1 species